rnacentral:rRNA from 1 species
UACGGAGGGUGCGAACGUUGCUCGGAAUCAUUGGGCGUAAAGCGCACGUAGGCGGCGGCGUAAGCGGGAUGUGAAAGCCCAGGGCUCAACCCUGGAAGUGCAUCCCGAACUGUGUCGCUUGAAUCUCGGAGGGGGAUAGAGAAUUCCCGGUGUAGAGGUGAAAUUCGUAGAUAUCGGAGGAAUACCAGUGGCGAAGGCGCUGUCCUGGACGAAGAUUGACGCUGAGGUGCGAAAGCGUGGGGAGCAAACAGG